GACGAACGCUGGCGGCGUGCUUAACACAUGCAAGUCGAGCGGGGACAUGGAGAAGCUUGCUUCGAAAUGUUCUAGCGGCGGACGGGUGAGUAACGCGUGAGCAACCUUUCCUCUACUGGGGAAUAACACAGGGAAACUUGUACUAAUACCGCAUGAGACCACAGAGCUGCAUGGCUUAGGGGUCAAAGAUUUAUCGGUAGAGGGUGGGCUCGCGUCUGAUUAGGUAGUUGGUGAGGUAACGGCCCACCAAGCCGACGAUCAGUAGCCGACCUGAGAGGGUGAUCGGCCACAUUGGGACUGAGACACGGCCCAAACUCCUACGGGAGGCAGCAGUGGGGAAUAUUGGGCAAUGGGGGAAACCCUGACCCAGCAACGCCGCGUGGAGGAAGAAGGUUUUCGGAUCGUAAACUCCUGUCCUCAGGGAAGAGCAGAAGACGGUACCUGAGGAGGAAGCCCCGGCUAACUACGUG
rnacentral:rRNA from 1 species